rnacentral:lncRNA from 1 species
ACUCUGACAUCUGUCGAAGCCAGCCUGUGGUAAGAGUUGGGCAGAGGUAGCCCUCAAUCACUUACUAACUUACUCGGUAAAUUAGCUAGCAAGAGGCCAAUCCUCUGGAAUUUUAUUUCCAAGAUAAACCAUUCGAAUGCUACUAAACGACAAGAAUAGUCUAUUUGAACAGGGCACAUGCAUCACACAUAAGGAAGACGCCGAAAGACUUACAAUGAAUUUGAAG